CAGUCGCCACGGUAAUACGUAGGGUGCGAGCGUUAAUCGGAAUUACUGGGCGUAAAGCGUGCGCAGGCGGUUGUGUAAGACAGGUGUGAAAUCCCCGGGCUUAACUUGGGAACUGCGCUUGUGACUGCACAGCUAGAGUAUGGCAGAGGGGGGUGGAAUUCCACGUGUAGCAGUGAAAUGCGUAGAGAUGUGGAGGAACACCGAUGGCGAAGGCAGCCCCCUGGGCCAAUACUGACGCUCAUGCACGAAAGCGUGGGGAGCAAACAGGAUUAGAUACCCCCGUAGUCCCUGUCUCUUAUAC
rnacentral:rRNA from 1 species